CCUUCAACAACUUCACCCCGUUCCUUCACAACGUUACUUGAUCCCGUCUACUUGUUCUAGUCCCGAUCCAGGUCUUUUGUCUAUCCAAGACCAAGAUUGUUUUGUGACGGUUAACUACUCUUUGCAAAAUCCAUCUAUUGCAUUAAUUUGUCUGAAAUCUUUUCCUGAAGCAUUUAUUACUUAGUUUCUCUAUAAAUCUAAGGUUACUCUAUUUAGAUCUUUCUUUCCCUCUCUCUCCGAUUCUUUUUUUUUAUGAUUUUCUAUCAAUAUCGACUCUUCUUAACUGCCAUUUUUACAUUUCCCAUGAAUUUGUUGAUAAUUAUGUAUCGAAUUAGGAAUAUAGCCUGGAGAGCUAACGUACUUUGGUUAUCAUUGCUUGUUUUGUAUAUCUUUCUGAUAAUAAGGAAGAGUAAGAGCAAGCCUAAGUAAUCUGUCAAUAAGAAGAUACAUAAUUGCUUUCCUUAUUUUCACCAAGCCUUGACACAACUCAUGAAUACUAGAUAAAUUCUGUAAUUCAUGAUGAUUUGGAAUGUCAAGCACAAAAUGUUGAAGUUCAAUUCUUAGACGUACUACUUCUUGCUCUGAGAAAUCAUCAGGAAAGAACUUCUUUGCAAGUUUGCAAAUAUCAUCAAUCUUGAACAAUUUAAAUCCAUCUCUAGGAUCAAAAGCAGUACUCUAUUGAAUGUUUAUUGAAUCUAGAGUUUAAUUCUUGCAACUGAUAGUCAAGUAUAGUAAAAAAGAUACCAACUCGAUAAUAAUGCAUAACACUAAUCUUAUCUUGUUGAUUUCGAGAUCUUCCAUCCCUUGCAACAUAUUGAGCAUCCAAAUCUGGGAUAUCAAUUUGAUGUUGCUCACAAAAUGAUGUAACAUUCAUGAGGAAAGAAUCCCAUCCUGAAUCUCGAAAGCUCAAGUAGCCUUUUUGUACUUGCAACAAUAUGCAUAGCAUUCAAAAUAUUUUGUGAUUGUCGUUGUAAGGCUACACAAAGAAUACGAUUAAUUUCCAAAAUAUCUUUCAUAAAAUGUAAUAUGAAAAUAAACUCAAAAGAUAAU